rnacentral:rRNA from 1 species
GUCGAACGAGGAUUUAACGGAAUGCGAUUCGUCAAAUGAAAUUAAAUCCGACCGUUAAACGGGUGAGUAACGCGUGGAUAACCUGCCUCACACAGGGGGACAACAGCCGGAAACGGCUGCUAAUACCGCAUAACAUGAGCAGCUCGCAUGGGCAGCUCACCAAAGAUUUUAUCGGUGUGAGAUGGAUCCGCGUCUGAUUAGCCAGUUGGCGGGGUAACGGCCCACCAAAGCGACGAUCAGUAGCCGACCUGAGAGGGUGACCGGCCACAUUGGGACUGAGACACGGCCCAAACUCCUACGGGAGGCAGCAGUGGGGAAUAUUGCACAAUGGGCGCAAGCCUGAUGCAGCGACGCCGCGUGAAGGAUGAAGUAUUUCGGUAUGUAAACUUCUAUCAGCAGGGAAGAAAAUGACGGUACCUGACUAAGAAGCCCCGGCUAACUACGUGCCAGCAGCCGCGGUAAUACGUAGGGGGCAAGCGUUAUCCGGAUUUACUGGGUGUAAAGGGAGCGUAGAUGGCAUGGCAAGUCUGAAGUGAAAGCCCGGGGCUUAACCCCGGGACUGCUUUGGAAACUGUUAAGCUAGAGUGCAGGAGAGGUAAGCGGAAUUCCU